UGAGCAAUCUGCCUUUCACUCUGGGAUAACCCUCGGAAACGGGGGCUAAUACUGGAUAUUACUUCUGCUCGCAUGGGUGGUUGUGGAAAGUUUUUUCGGUGGAAGAUGAGCUCGCGGCCUAUCAGCUAGUUGGUGGGGUAACGCUCACCAAGGCGACGACGGGUAGCUGGU
rnacentral:rRNA from 1 species